GGAUUAUCCUUUUGUUCUGUCUUCCCCUGGAUCCUUUGUUAUGGACUGUUUUUGCUGCUCUGCGGACAACCUUAGUUUGGACUCUGCUUUUGCAGGAAUUGAAGGGACCGGUGAAGUGCAAGAGUUAUGAAAGCCGUCAUGGAUGAGUCUUCGUCUCUUCCUUUCUACAUCAAACACACAUGGACAAUUUUUUUAUUAAAAUUACAGCUAUUGAGUUUGUCGCCCCAUCUAA